rnacentral:rRNA from 1 species
UCUCCAGACUCCUACGGGAGGCAGCAGUGGGGAAUAUUGCACAAUGGGCGAAAGUCUGACGCAGCGACGCCGCGUGAGGGAUGAAGGUUUUCGGAUCGUAAACCUCUGUCAGGAGGGAAGAAAGCGCAUGGCGCCAAUCAGCCAUGCGUUGACGGUACCUCCAAAGGAAGCGCCGGCUAACUCCGUGCCAGCAGCCGCGGUAAUACGGAGGAUGCGAGCGUUAUCCGGAUUUAUUGGGUUUAAAGGGUGCGCAGGCGGCGUGUCAAGUCAGCGGUAAAAUGUCGGGGCUCAACCCCGGCCGGCCGUUGAAACUGGCGUGCUCGAGUUGGAGAGAAGUAUGCGGAAUUCGUGGUGUAGCGGUGAAAUGCAUAGAUAUCACGAAGAACCCCGAUUGCGAAGGCAGCAUACCGGCUCCACACUGACGCUGAGGCACGAAAGCGUGGGUAUCGAACAGGAUUAGAUACCCUAGUA